rnacentral:tRNA from 1 species
GUGUACUUAGCUCAAUGGUUAGAACAUUACUCAUGAAUGCUGAGUGUGUGAGUUUGACUCUCACAGUACACA